ACCAAGCGAGGACCCGUCGAUUCAAACUUUUCUAAGUCCUCAACCGAGUAAUCCCCCACUGUUUUGUUCCUUCACUUUCCCACAAAACGGCGUUGAUGUAAACGUCAUAGCCAAUACUUAUGUUCGUUUAAAUAUAUGAUGUACAUUGUAUAUAUCUAACUGGUUUGUAUGGCCUCACUUGGGCCAUCGCCAGGGUUUAUUUUAUUUAUUUGAUUUAUUUAACUACCACUGCUACUAAAUACUAUUGUUUUUGACAGUCUAAAACAUGCAAAGUGUAGUGUCAUUGUGACAGAAAGUUGCUUCGAAGUUCGUGUUGUAGGUUGGUCUAAAAGUAAAAGCGACAUAUCUAUUAGGAAAUAACGACCAACGUUAGCAUUACUCGAGCUUGGUGUUAAGGAAGACAAUAUUACAUUCUUCACUUUUAGCUAGCUUUUUUUGUAUCCUGCGCAGUUGUUCCUUUUCCUUAUCUUUGCAAUCGGGAUGCUCCCAUCGUUAUUCCAUCCAGGCGAUCCUCCUCCACUUUUUUUUUUUUAUCAAUGUCCUGUUGGUUUCAGAUUCGGUUUCCCGAGUUUCAAAAUGACUCCGGUUUCUCUGGUACUUUUAAGGGGUUUCUUUAUUUAUUUUUAUUUUCUACAGUCAUGUUUAUGGUCUGGUGGAUGUUUACUGUUGAGUGCACUUCCGAAGGUCAACAGUGUUGUGACUCACCAAGAGAAUAACUAACCCUGACAGUGUUGACAUCGAAGAAAACAUCAACAGAAAUGAGAAGACAGAUAUUAGUUGUGGAGUCAAUGUUUUCAAGACUUCAUCCAGCUUUGCUCUUACUCAUCAGGAUGAGACGGACACGGAUGCAUCAUGUUUAUAUCAUAUUGUUGGAGCUUAUUUCAUGUUUUAUAUUGCCAUGCUUUUUUUAUCAUAAUGGUGAUUUGCAAUUAAUACCUAUUCCUAAAAUGGUAACAUUUAUGUUGUAGGCUGUAUCUGUCCUUUGUGAUAAACCUAAGGACACAUUUCAUGUUUGCUGUUGCCAUUCUUUUGUUUUAUCGUAUUGAUUAACUCAAACUCAAAAAUAAACAUAUUGCAAAGAUUAAAUAUUUUUUGUCUCAACUAAA